ensembl:lncRNA
ACCACGCGGCACUGAGGUCUCAUCUCGGGCCCCCAUGCCAGGCUCUAGGCCAGCCCUGUCAGGAUGGGGCAGAACCCUGGGGGUGGGGGGUCCUGUGGCUGGGCCACUACGCUGCAAGUACAGCAGUGAGAAUGAUAGCCAGGACAGGACACUGGUAGCAAUAGGGGGCUCUGCCCAGGGCUCUCUGCCUGGGUCGGGGCAGGCCGGGUGUCAGGCAGUCGCAUCCCUCGUUUGUUAUCCCCACAGGCAGGAGCUGGAUAAAUACUCAGCCUCCUUCCCGCUUCAGGGGAGUCACUGGAGGGUGCUCAGCAGGGGUACUAAGUCAUCAGCCCUUCCCGGCGUGCCCCUUCCCUACUCCCUGUCUUCCUGAGUCACCUCCCAAAGAAAUGAAUGGCUUCCACGUCAACCCUGGCCUCACAUUCUGCUUCCAGGGAGAGUCAGCCAAAAACAUCAGGAGACAGCCAUGGUGUGGGGACUGUGAGGACCGGGACCCAGACACCAGCACUCCAGCCUGGACACCUGCUCACCGGCAUGUGCACAGAUGUGACUCAAAGUCAUCAGUGCACGAAGAUCACACGAGGACAGAGGCUCCUGGGGCCUGCACAAACCACAGUUCCGGGCGCCCCAGCUCCAGCAGGCCCACACACUCCACCACGGCCUGUCCCCACAUCUGCCCUGGGACAGAGGCUCUCACCCCAUGCAGCCGCGCAGAGAAAGAGCACCCCUUAUUCUCACCGGCAGAGGUGCCAGCAGGGCCCCGCCUCCCAGGGACAGCGAGUCACACCUGCCUACCCACAGCAGCCGCAGGAGCUUUGCUCUCUAAGAAUCGUGUUGUUGGAAGACCAGAGCCUUUGGGGGCUUAGUUAUGCUCUUAGGGUCCUAAAGCCACGUGAGGGUAACUAAGGCCACCACGGUCACACACUCAGACGGGGAAGGGAGGGCAAGAAUGACAUUGACGUUGGCAAACAAGGAAAAACAAGGAAGCGGGUAUCUGCCCUCUAGGAGGUCUCCGCCCUCUCAGGGGUCCCUGCUCUCAGGGGUCUCUGGCCUCUCACAGGUCUCUGCUCUCUUGGAGGUCACUGGCCUCAGAGGUCUCUGACCUCUCAAGAGUCUCUGCCCUCCUGGGGUCUCUGCCCUCUCGGGGGUCUCUGCUCUGGGCGUGCUCUCUUCCGUCUCAGUGCUGUGUCCCUGCCCUGCCUUUCUCCUCUCUGGUAGUCCUGGGCUCCCAGGACCUAAGCUGGCCUUGGAUGAACCCAGUACGGUUCCUCUCCUGCCUGUCUCGGGGCACCUGGACACCGCCAGCAUCCCAUUACUGGACUCUGGUCAAGGAGCUCGGUGUGGAUAACAGAUUGUUUUGGAAACUUCCCACCCUUAGAGGGACUGAGGGGAAUGCCCAGCCCAGCCACAGCUGUCCAGGGCUUUGUUUCUCUGACGUGCCUUACGAGGAGACAGAGUGGCCACCGAGGGGACGGAGCCUGCCAUGUACCGUGUGCAGCGGUGGACCACCAGGCAAGAGCACCACAGGGAGUGUCCAGAGAUCCAGCCUGGGAAGAGCUGCUCGCCACUUCCAGCAAGGAGCACGCAGGCGCGUCCGUUCUUUCUGACCCACACUUUCUAGGGACAGCAGGCCGAGCACCUGGUGUGUGCCGUCCCAGCACGUGCUCUGCAGCCUCUGUCCCAUGUGCGGCUGGCCCAGACCCUCGCUGCUCGGUGUGCGGCUCGCCUGGACCCUCGCUCCUUUGGGCCGUCACUUUCCCUACUUUGCAGACCUGGAAUGCCGUCCCUGCCCCAGCUCCACUGCCCAUGGGUGGCCAUCCAGGAGCCACAGCAGAGUACACACUGCACUGUGACACCCAGGGACUCCCAAUGUGAUGUCCCCGGGGGUCACUGCCCCAGCCCUCAGCGGCCUGCCUCUCUGGGCAUUGCACUGGCAGAAGAAAAUGUCCUCACCAGGUUGGGCGUGGUGGCUCACGUCUGUAAUUCCAGCACUUUGGGAGGCCGAGGCAGGUGGAUCACAAGGUCAGGAGAUCGAGACCAUCGUGGCUAGCAUGAUGAAAUCCUGUUUCUACUAAAAAUACAAAAAAAAAAAAAAAAAUUAGCUGGGCGUGGUGGCGGGUGUCUGUAGUCCCAGCUACUCGGGAGGCUGAGGCAGGAGAAUGGUGUGAACCCAGGAGGUGGAGCUUGCAGUGAGCCGAGAUCGCACCACUGCACUCCAGCCAGGGCGACUGAGCAAGACUCUGUGUCAAAAAAAAAAAAGAAAGAAAAAGAAAAUGUCACCCAAGGUCACGGCCACCAAGGUCACAGGCUGCCAAGGUCAUGGCCGCCCACACCGGGCAGCUGACCUCCAGGGUCAUCCUCGGGAAAUGCCCACCUGGUCCCACCUGACCGCCCUGACUGUCUGCCCCAUCACCCGCAUCACUGCACUCCAGCCUGGGAGACAGAGCAAGACUCCGUCUCAAAAAAAAAAGAAAAAGAAAAGAAAAGGAAAAAAGAACUCUAUGUUCUCUAUUUCAAAUGCAGGGAGCAUCUCUCGGUUUAAACCGUAAGUGCCCUUCCCAACUCGGCAGACCCGCCCCAGUGAAGAGCAUCUUCAUGACUUGGGAACAGGACACUCACCUUGUCACUAGGCAGGGCUGUACUCACUGGCUCGGGUGGGCGCCCAGGUAGGAGACAAAGCACUUCCCCACGGCACGUGGACGGCUUCCGUGUGCCACAUGACCAGUCAGUGUGAGAAAAACGCAACCCCCAGUGACUGCUGUAGAGGACAGUUCAGCCAGAACUCAAACUGCCACCGUCAUCUGUGGAGACCUUGAUUUCACAGGGCCUGGUGGUGCUGAAAUACUCAGAACAUCUUGAAUGAAUGAAUGUCCACUUCCUUCACCAACUCUGUGCUGGGGAGGGGGCAGGGCCCUUGCGGGAUCAGGAGCCCCUCCCCUGGGGCCCAGCCUCGAACCCCUUAAGUGAUCAGGAGAUACAGACGACACCCUGAAUGAUGACACCGAGCUGUUUCCAAUCUCUUGCUUGUCCCAGCGAGCACAGCGAGCACAUCUUUCCUUGUGCUCCGGGCAAACCCCUGCGGCAUCAGCUCCUACCGCGAAAUUGGUGUUUCUGGGUCACAGUGUUUGUGCCUUUGUGAUUUUGUUGUUAUUGCCAAAUACCCUCUGCAGAAUUGUGCCACGGCACCUCCCCGCCAGCCUGAGUGUUUGCAAUGAAACGCUUUAGCUCGCCUGACAUUUCUGCCAGCGUAUUCCACAGCAUGCUCUCUCUGCCACAUUAAUCAACAGGAGCGCAGAGGAAAACUUGAACUUCAGGCUGAGCCAUUUCCUGC